rfam:Oryza glumipatula chromosome 8, whole genome shotgun sequence.
ACUACCUCCGAGCCCAACGUUUGACCGUCCGUCUUAUUUGAAAAAUUUGAAAAUAUUUAGUCACACAUAAAGUACUAUUCAUGUUUUAUCAUCUAAUAGCAAUAAAAAUACUAAUCAUAAAAAAAUUUCUAAUAAGACGAACGGUCAAACGUUGAACGUGAAUAGUGCAAAACUGCACUUAUU